GACGAACGCUGGCGGCGUGCUUAACACAUGCGAGUCGUACGGUAAGGCCCUUUCGGGGGUACACGAGUGGCGAACGGGUGCGUAACACGUGAGUAACCUGCCCACAACUUUGGGAUAACGCUAGGAAACUGGUGCUAAUACUGGAUAUGUGCUCCUGCUGCAUGGUGGGGGUUGGAAAGCUCCGGCGGUUGUGGAUGGACUCGCGGCCUAUCAGCUUGUUGGUGGGGUAGUGGCCUACCAAGGCGGCGACGGGUAGCCGGCCUGAGAGGGUGACCGGCCACAUUGGGACUGAGAUACGGCCCAGACUCCUACGGGAGGCAGCAGUGGGGAAUAUUGCACAAUGGGCGCAAGCCUGAUGCAGCAACGCCGCGUGCGGGAUGACGGCCUUCGGGUUGUAAACCGCUUUCAGCAGGGACGAAGCUUUUUGUGACGGUACCUGCAGAAGAAGCACCGGCUAACUACGUG
rnacentral:rRNA from 1 species